rnacentral:rRNA from 1 species
UACAGAGGGGGCAAGCGUUGUUCGGAAUUACUGGGCGUAAAGGGCGCGUAGGCGGCCUGUUAAGUCGGACGUGAAAUCCCUCGGCUCAACCGGGGAACUGCGUCCGAUACUGGAAGGCUUGAAUCCGGGAGAGGGAUGCGGAAUUCCAGGUGUAGCGGUGAAAUGCGUAGAUAUCUGGAGGAACACCGGUGGCGAAGGCGGCGUCCUGGACCAACACUGACACUGAUGAGCGAAAGCCAUGGGAGCAAACGGG